UCCCUGGUGACUCAGAUGGUAAAGUAUCUGCCUACAGGGCAGGAGGCCCAGGUUUGAUCCCUGGAUUGGGAA
rnacentral:tRNA from 1 species